AACCCAUAGUGAGGGCACCUUCUUAUUAAGUCUUUAUACUUCUCCAAUGCAUCAUAUAAAGUUUCUAAAUCCAUCUGCAAAAAAGAAGAGAUAUCAUUCCUCAAUUU
rfam:Gossypium arboreum cultivar AKA8401 contig_71296_1, whole genome shotgun sequence.